rnacentral:rRNA from 1 species
UACAGAGGGGGCAAGCGUUGUUCGGAAUCACUGGGCGUAAAGCGCACGUAGGCGGCUUUUUAAGUCAGGGGUGAAAUCCUGGAGCUCAACUCCAGAACUGCCUUUGAUACUGAGGAUCUUGAGUUCGGGAGAGGUGAGUGGAACUGCGAGUGUAGAGGUGAAAUUCGUAGAUAUUCGCAAGAACACCAGUGGCGAAGGCGGCUCACUGGCCCGAUACUGACGCUGAGGCACGAAAGCGUGGGGAGCAAACAGGG